UGGUUUGGAUCCCAGCAGCUCUCACUAGAGAAAAAUCAAAAGAUCACUGUUGAGAGCCUCGCCCACAGAGCUGGGGCAGAAGGCAGAUUUCUGUGUGAAGGUCCUGCGAGCCUUGGAUGUGUCCCGUGGCCGUGGCCUCGGCGGUCCUGGCUCCUCCGAGAGGCCGGAUGCGGCAGCAGGACCCCGAGAGACCGCGGCCCGGGGCGGAGCGCGCGCCCUGGUCAGGCACAGGGGGUGCUGCGCGGAGACCCCAGCUUUCCAGGUCCUCUCCGCUCGUUUUCCUAGUGAAUUUACUGGUAAGAGUACAAAUGGGGGAGAAAAAAAAAGGCAAGCAACUCAUCGGCGUUAUCCAGCUCCUCGUCCCCCUUCUCCACCCUGUUAUCGGGGACCACGACAGGAAGCAGCGGCAUUUCCUGAUGACGGUGGAGGGCGCUGCAGUCGCAGCUAUUGUAACAUCCAAGCGGCCGCUCGCUUUGAUCUGGUAGAAUGAUGAGCUCCCAGAUGACUUGAGGUUCGUGGCAGCGCCUGCAGGGGACGCUGCUGCGCUCGGGCCGGGAGCUGGGUCAGCGGAGUCUGCGCGCCCUGGAGCGGCCCGAGCAGAGGCGGCGAGGGCGGAGGCCCGGGGAAGAGGCUGCACCCAGCGUCUCCGCGCACAGUCCAGUUCCUUUCCCCGCCUGGAGAGGCGGCAGACGCGGGCGCGCAGAGUCUGGGAGGAGCCCAGACCGCUGGUUGCUUAGCAACGUGCACGGGAGUGUUAAUUAAAGCAGGACAGACAGCCAACGCUCCCUUGGGAAUGGCGGUGGCGCCGUCGGGACCUCAGGCUCAGGCCGCGCGGGCCAGGCCGGCCUAGAGGUCAGCUGGGUGUAAGCAGGAGUCUGUUCCUUGGCGGAGAGUCAAGGACCCAACCGCACACCUUGCCACAAGGCCACCUCUACUUACUUACAGGAGAGCCCUCCUUUGGUAUUUUGUUGUGACUACCCUGCUGUCUCUGCGGCUGCCCUUUCCCAAACCCUAAAGGCAAAAAGCAGGGAAAAUGCUGACACGAUGGGCACGACAUUGGGAGUCACUACCUAAAAUCAGGGCCCAAGAAUUCCUGAAACCAGCAACAUGAAAACGUAAGGGAUGCGUCAGUUGUUGAUAUUCUAGCUCCCGAGCAAAUCUAACGAACUUUGCAAUCACUUCUCCCAGGCCUCCGAGAAUAAUUAAACUGGGUAAUGAGAUUGUCUUGAUCUUAUUAAAUUUCGUACAGCUAACAA